UGCAAGUCGAACGAGGAUCGUCCGGGUAGCAAUACUCGGGCGGUCCGAGUGGCGUACGGGUGAGUAACACGUGGGCGACCUGCCCUUGAGUUCGGGAUACCCUUCCGAAAGGGAGGCUAAUACCGGAUACGUUCCCUGGGUCGCGAGAUCUGGGGAGGAAAGGUGGCGCAAGCUGCCGCUCUUGGAGGGGCUCGCGGCCUAUCAGCUAGUUGGUGAGGUAACGGCUCACCAAGGCGAUGACGGGUAGCUGGUCUGAGAGGACGACCAGCCACACGGGGACUGAGACACGGCCCCGACUCCUGCGGGAGGCAGCAGUGGGGAAUUUUCCGCAAUGGGCGAAAGCCUGACGGAGUGACGCCGCGUGGGGGACGAAGGCCUUCGGGUCGUAAACCCCUGUCAGAGGGAAAGAAGGGUGUCGGCGUGAACAGCGCCGGCAUCUGACGGUACCUUCAGAGGAAGCCCCGGCCAACUCUGUGCCAGCAGCCGCGGUAAGACAGAGGGGGCAAGCGUUGCUCGGAAUCACUGGGCGUAAAGGGCGCGUAGGCGGGGCGAUAAGUCGGUCGUGAAAUCCCAUGGCUCAACUGUGGGGGGUCGGCCGAAACUGCCGUUCUUGAGGGAUGCAGAGGAGACUGGAAUUCCCGGUGUAGCGGUGAAAUGUGUAGAGAUCGGGAGGAACACCGGUGGCGAAGGCGGGUCUCUGGGCAUCUCCUGACGCUGAGCGCGAAAGCGUGGGGAGCAAACGGGAUUAGAUACCCCGGUAGUCCACGCUGUAAACGAUGACGACUA
rnacentral:rRNA from 1 species